rnacentral:rRNA from 1 species
UACCCAGACUCCUACGGGAGGCAGCAGUGGGGAAUAUUGGGCAAUGGGCGCAAGCCUGACCCAGCGACGCCGCGUGAGGGAAGACGGUCUUCGGAUUGUAAACCUCUUUCAGCAGGGAAGACAAAAGGACGGUACCUGCAGAAGAAGCCACGGCUAACUACGUGCCAGCAGCCGCGGUAAUACGUAGGUGGCAAGCGUUAUCCGGAUUUACUGGGUGUAAAGGGAGCGUAGACGGCGAUGCAAGCCAGAUGUGAAAGCCCGGGGCUCAACCCCGGGACUGCAUUUGGAACUGUGUGGCUGGAGUGUCGGAGAGGCAGGCGGAAUUCCUAGUGUAGCGGUGAAAUGCGUAGAUAUUAGGAGGAACACCAGUGGCGAAGGCGGCCUGCUGGACGAUGACUGACGUUGAGGCUCGAAAGCGUGGGGAGCAAACAGGAUUAGAUACCCCCGUAA